rnacentral:snRNA from 1 species
AUGCUUCGGCAGCACAUAUAAUAAAAUUGGAAUGAUACAGAGAAGAUUAGCAUGACCCCUGUGCAAGGAUGACACACAAAUUUGUUAAGCAUUCCAUAUUUUU